UUGGAACAUGAGGUAGAAGGAACUCUGAACAGUUCUGUCAGCUGGAGCCAUGGGAAAAAAAAUAAAUUCCUUACUAAAGUCUUGCUUGAUGACAGAUGUGUCCCAUGGAAUUCAAGUUGGUGCCAAAUGGAAGACCCUUCUGAAGCCAAACCAUUUUUGUGACUAUCUUGUUACCUGUUGUCUUCCACCUGUUGUUAGGUGGUCUCUUUUAGCCUAUGACUAAAGAGCCUUGAGAUCAUCCUUCUUUGCUCAGGCCUAGCCUGCUACCAAAUGUGCUCUAACUACUUACCUAGAUGUCAAAACUGAUAAAAUAAACCAUCAUCAAUUGACAAUGAUAAAAUUAUGAAGAAGCAUUACACAUGUAACAUAAAAUCAUGCUUGCUCCAAAAUAGCUGACUUCCUCAGGAAGACUGUUUUUGAUUAGAACAAAGAAAAUACACCAGGACUUUGCCAUUUAGAAACAACCAUCAUGUUUUCUUCUUCUUCCCCCACUCCCUCCUCCUCCUCCCUCCUUCUUCCUACCCCCACCCUUUUUUAUAGAGGAGAUGAUUAUAUCAUGUAUGUACUGCUGUUAUGAUCUGAAAUAUUAAAUCUCCAACUUCCAAAUUUUCUUUUAGUUUACUAUCCCCUGAGCUUGAAUUUAUGUCUUUGAUCAGUAUGAAAACGCCUGCUGUCAUCCUGGGCAACAUCAGUUUUAGCCUGGAGGCUCCUGUAUCAACUUUUCAAGGACAUUUGAAUUUCAAGCUCUAGCUAUCCAAAAUGGGUGGAACACAGGGUAACCUACAGGUGAAAGAUACCGCACAGAAAGUAUUACAAGGCUUUUCUGGGAGAUGUAAAAAGACUCAAAUAAUGAAGAGGGUAGCAUGGUUCUUGGAUG